rnacentral:rRNA from 1 species
GACGAACGCUGGCGGCGUGCUUAACACAUGCAAGUCGAACGGAAAGGCCCUUCGGGGUACUCGAGUGGCGAACGGGUGAGUAACACGUGGGUGAUCUGCCCUGCACUUUGGGAUAAGCCUGGGAAACUGGGUCUAAUACCGAAUAUGACCGCGCACUUCCUGGUGUGUGGUGGAAAGCUUUUGCGGUGUGGGAUGGGCCCGCGGCCUAUCAGCUUGUUGGUGGGGUAAUGGCCUACCAAGGCGACGACGGGUAGCCGGCCUGAGAGGGUGACCGGCCACACUGGGACUGAGAUACGGCCCAGACUCCUACGGGAGGCAGCAGUGGGGAAUAUUGCACAAUGGGCGCAAGCCUGAUGCAGCGACGCCGCGUGAGGGAUGACGGCCUUCGGGUUGUAAACCUCUUUCAAUAGGGACGAAGCGCAAGUGACGGUACCUAUAGAAGAAGGACCGGCCAACUACGUGCCAGCAGCCGCGGUAAUACGUAGGGUCCGAGCGUUGUCCGGAAUUACUGGGCGUAAAGAGCUCGUAGGUGGUUUGUCGCGUUGUUCGUG